rnacentral:misc_RNA from 1 species
CAUAAUCUGGUUUAUCAUCAAAUCUCAGUGAUCGACAGUAAUGAAAAUAUGAUGCAAACUCUGCAGGAUAGCCUCGACACAAGGUCUCUAUUGACGUUGAAACUUUCUUCUCACUGAUCCUCUCAUACUUCUGUUUCUUAUUGCCUGCUUUCAGCCCCUGCCAAGGGAGACUUCCUCUUAAAAAGUACAUCAGAACAAAACCCAAUGAUUCCAAAUCAUCCCUUCGACUUUGUUCUACAUGGUCAAUAGAAAACACAGAGUAAACAGUCCAUAUAAA